AUACGGAAGGUCCGGGCGUUAUCCGGAUUUAUUGGGUUUAAAGGGAGCGCAGGCGGAGAUGCAAGCGUGACGUCAAAUUUCGGGGCUCAACCCCGUCUCGCGUCGCGAACUGCGUCCCUUGGUUGCGGGAAGGGGAGGCGGAACUCGUGGUGUAGCGGUGAAAUGCAUAGAUAUCACGAAGAACUCCGAUCGCGAAGGCAGCCUUCCGGCCCGUCAACGACGCUCAUGCUCGAAGGUGCGGGUAUCAAACAGGAUUAGAUACCCUGGUAGUCCGCACAGUAAACGAUGGACACCCGCGGUUUGGCCUACAUGGCUGAGCCGCCAAGCGAAAGCGUUAAGUGUCCCACCUGGGGAGUACGCCGGCAACGGUGAAACUCAAAUGAAUUGACGGGG
rnacentral:rRNA from 1 species